rnacentral:lncRNA from 1 species
AUGCAAUCUAUUUUAUGGAUGACCACCUCAGUACCAAAGGCAGUGCAGUCUCUGCAAGCCUUCAGCAUAGUCUUCAGGGCUUCCCGAGGUGCUCACAGGAGCUCCGGCACAUUUUACCUUUGUUCUUUUCUAGCUCCUGCCCACCUGCCCUGCCAAUGCUGUCUCCCCAACCCCCAGCCAAGCUCGUGUGGCUUCCAGGUGUCUAGAGACCUGACGCCCACUGCAGUGGCUGAUUCCAGAAAGGCCACGGCUGUGCAACAGGAAUACCGUGCUACAACUGCCUCCCCGCCGCCUCCUUCUCCUCCUUCUGAGAACGUGUGUGUGUGUGGGCGCCGCAUCCGACACAGAGAGAAACACAUUGCAUUCAGGGUGAGCAAGUGCUCACCUAAAAAGACCACAUCUGGGACUUUCCCGGCGGUCCGGUGGUUAGGAAUCCACCUGCCAAUGCAGCGGACCCGGGUUUGCUUGUGCAUCACAGCUACAGAAAUCUACGUGCGCUGGGAGCCCGAGCCCCACAGAGCCACACGCAGUGAGAAGCCCGCACACCGCAACUGGAGAGUAGCCCCUGCUCAUAGCAACAAAGACCCAGCACAGCCAAAAACUAAGUAAAUAAAUAAAUAAGUAUUUUUUAAAAAAUAAAAAGACCGCGUCUCCCAGUCUUUCCCGUGUCAGAGCUGGUUCUAGGGUAUGGUUCUGGCCAU